rnacentral:tRNA from 1 species
GCUCAGGUGGUGGAAUUGGUAGACACACCGUCUUGAGGGGGCGGCGCCGCAAGGCAUGCGAGUUCGAGUCUCGCCCUGAGCA